rnacentral:misc_RNA from 1 species
ACUAAGAACAAUGGAGUCCAAUAAGAAUGGAUCCCUGAGGCCUCAGACUACAGAGUCCUCGCCGUGGUUGUGGUUGCUCAUGCUGGUCACGUUGUUGCAGACGUCAUUGUUUGCCAUGGUUACCGUUUAUCAAUAUGACAACACGGGACUUCUUCAGGAAGCUGACAGGGAACUAGACAACAGAAUCAAAACAUUGCAGGAGGCUCUGACUGUGAAUAACAUGAAAAGGAGUUUACAUGCCCAUAAGAGGGCAGACAAUUUUAUCGCUGAUUUUCUGACAUCACAGGAAAAGAUAAUCGCUCAACACUGUAUAGACAAGAACAAGACCUGUUCAAAAGGAGAACCAGGCGACCCAGCCUUGCCAGGGGUCAAAGGUGAUAAGGGUCAAAUGGGCAUGCUCGGUGACCCUGGUUUUCCAGGUUCAGAUGGGGCCAAAGGUCAGCCGGGUCUCCGUGGUGAUAAAGGGGAACCAGGAUUAAAGGGUGAGCAGGGUCCAAAAGGAUUGAAAGGUUCCCAUGGAGACGUAGGUCCUCAGGGGCCAAAGGGGGAACAAGGGCCAAGAGGUUCCAAAGGAGAUUCGGGCAUUAAGGUGAAAACUAUAUGCUUUUUCGACCUUUAAUUACUUCCUUCUCAAUAUCGCACAUCCUGUUUAACUAUACUGGCUGAUUUUACGAAAACUAUUUAGGUGAUUAUUUGAUUUGCGUUAAAAUACAUGAAGUGCGCGUAAUCCUAUUGCGAUGUUUGCAAUAUUUUUCAAAACUAUGUGAUAUUAACUUUUUUCUGACGAAUAAAUAUGCUUUAAUUUACAUUUAUUCCGUGAAAUUGUUCAGAUUGUGCCUAGAAUCGAAAUUUUUUCGAAAUUUUUAUCAACCGUUAAAUGUACGUGCCAUGUACAGCAAUUAAAAAAUAGAUCUUUUGUCUAAAAAGGGAGAGCAGGGUGAUAUAGGACUGAGAGGAGACCAGGGACAGAAGGGAGAAAAGGGCGCGCAGGGGGAGGCAGGUGACCCCGGGGAUACGGGAGUCCGCGGACAGAAGGGAAACAAGGGGGAUCAAGGUCCCUCGGGACCUCCCGGUCCUGACAGCAGCAAGGAUGGUUGUGUCUGUCUACAAUUCCCAACAUUUGACGACCCUACACCAACGACACAGAUUUAUAUGGCAGUAGGAGAAACUAUAAACAUGCCUUGUAAUGCAACAGGGAGCCCCUCCCCCAGCAUCUCACUCAAGAAGCAGACGACAGUCCCGCGUCGUGGCAGGCGAUCACGUGACAAACGCAACUUCCUGAUUCUGAAUGGACGAUACACCAUUACAAACGCAGUCACAAUGGACUUUGGUACCUACGUCUGUACAGCGACCAAUGGACUGGGAAGCGUUUCAAAACAGAUCGAGAUAGUCAAAGGAGUUGUGCCAAACAUAGCCAAGCAACCUCAGAGUUCCACAAACAACAUCGGCUCGACGGUGCAAUUCCGAUGUGUCAACACCGGGGUCCCAUCUCCGACAGUCACGUGGUACAGAAAUGGGAAGGCGAUAGGUGUAGAUUCACGUCAUCAAUUCUCGAGUAACGGCGAGAUUUUGACGAUAUCAAACUUACAGACAACGGACUCUGGUACAAUUGAGUGUCAGGCGUCAAAUGCUGUAGGGGUCACGACCUCUCGCGAGGCGGUGUUAACGGUUGCUUAACAGUGAAUAAAUUGGAUCUUCAG